rnacentral:rRNA from 1 species
CGUAACACGUGAGGAACAUGACCUUCGGCGGGGGAUAGCCGGCCCAACGGCCGGGUAAUACCGCGUACGACCAUUUGGGGACAUCCCUAGGUGGUGAAAGCAGCAAUGCGCCGAUGGAGUGCCUCGCGGCCUAUCAGCUAGUUGGUGGGGUAACGGCUCACCAAGGCAACGACGGGUAGCUGGUCUGAGAGGAUGGCCAGCCACAUUGGGACUGAGACACGGCCCAG